GUGCUCGCUUCAGCAGCACACACACUAAAAUUGGAACGACAAGGGAAGACCAGCAUGGCCACUGCACAAGGAUAACAUGCAAAUUCGUGAAGCGUUACAUAUUUAA